rnacentral:pre_miRNA from 1 species
CAAUGAUGCUGGUCAAUGCAAUGAUGGAAUCAAUGGUGCUGGUUGUUGGAUUGCAUUGACCAGCACCGUUGAUUCCAUCAUUGCAUUGACCAGCA